GCUUAGCCAUAAACCCAGAUAUUUAACAUACAAAAAUAUCCGCCAGAGAACUACGAGCAAAACGCUUAAAACUCUAAGGACUUGGCGGUACCUUAAACCCCCCUAGAGGAGCCUGUUCUAUAAUCGAUAAUCCACGAUCUACCUCACCAUCUCUUGCCAAUACCGCCUAUAUACCGCCGUCACCAGCCUACCCUAUGAAGGAUAUAAAAGUAGGCAAAAUCGCACAACAGCUAACAAGUCAGGUCAAGGUGUAGCUUACUGAGAUGGAAGAAAUGGGCUACAUUUUCUAAACUAGAAAUCAUUUCACGGAAAGAACUAUGAAACAAGUUCUAUAAGCAGGAUUUAGCAGUAAAUAGGGAUCAGAAUGCCCAAUUUAAGCCGGUCCUAAGGUACGC
rnacentral:rRNA from 1 species